AUGCUAAGCACCAGGCCGGUUGCUCUUACCUGCCUCCCUCAGAUGAGCCGACUCCCAGCUGGACUUUUCCAGGUAGUGUGCACAGAAUCACAUGAAGAAGAGGAAGAGGAGGAGGAGGAGGAGGAGGUGGAGGAGGAGGAGGAGGAGGAAGAAGAAGAAGAAGAAGAAGAAGAAGAAGAAGAAGAAGAAGAAGAAGAAGAAGAAGAAGAAGAGGCAGCAGCAGCAGCAGCAAUAGUAGCGUGCAGUUGCUAAGUGAUGGGGUUCCUUAAAUCAAGCUGCCGGGAUGGAAUGGGAAUGCUCAGCUACAUGACUCCACGCUUCUUGGCAGGUCUAGGCAUUUACAGAUUUCACAGGUAAACUAUAGAACACUCAACAUCAACUCCAGAUCAACAUUCAUUUAUUUCUAGCGUAAUCAUGUCACAAAUACUGUAUUGAGUAUACACAAUCUACAAGACAUAUUUAUACUAAAACAUUGUGUUAUUUAUCUGAAAUUCAAAUUAGCUAGAAAUCCUGCAGUUUUGUUUGCUAAAACUCCCGACAUUGACUGCCUAUCUUUCUUGUUUUCUUUUAUCGAAGCAGUCCGUGCUGUGCUUGUGAACAACUAGGACAUGUUGACAGUCUUAGUUGAAGUAGCCUAGCAGAUCUUGUGGAUGUGCAAACUGACAACUUCACUUUGGAACACUGUCACACACUUUGGCCAACUUACACAAGACCAUGCCACCUUUCCUGCAGCUAGUCUGAGCAGCAGGUUGUCCAACUUGGAUAUUAGUCCCCUGAGUAGAUAGAUGAGUGAGACAUUUGAAGUCUUAACCUAGUUGUAUAUUUUCUUGCUGAGGGUAAAGUUGAGCAUUAAAAACAAAAUCUGUUUGAGGGCUUAUGGUAGUUUGACUAAGAUGUCCUCCAUAGUCUUCAGCAUGGGAACACUUGGUCCAUAGUUAGUGGUCUUGCAUGGGAAGUCUUAAAAGGUGUGGUCUUGCUGGAAGAAGUGUAUCACUGGAGAUGGACCUUGAGAGCUUAAAGACUUGCACCAUUCCCAGUUCAUCUCUCUGCUUCUUGCCUGUGGUUCAAGGUAUGAGCCCCCAGCUUUCUGUUCCUGCUGCCAUUUCUUUGUUCCACCAUCAUAGACUAAUCCUCUGCAACUGCAUCCCAAAUAAACCCUUCCUUCCUUAAGUUGCCUUGGUCGUG
rnacentral:lncRNA from 1 species